AGAGUUUGAUCCUGGCUCAGGACGAACGCUGGCGGCGUGCCUAAUACAUGCAAGUCGAACGCUUCUUUUUCCACCGGAGCUUGCUCCACCGGAAAAAGAGGAGUGGCGAACGGGUGAGUAACACGUGGGUAACCUGCCCAUCAGAAGGGGAUAACACUUGGAAACAGGUGCUAAUACCGUAUAACAAUCGAAACCGCAUGGUUUUGAUUUGAAAGGCGCUUUCGGGUGUCGCUGAUGGAUGGACCCGCGGUGCAUUAGCUAGUUGGUGAGGUAACGGCUCACCAAGGCCACGAUGCAUAGCCGACCUGAGAGGGUGAUCGGCCACAUUGGGACUGAGACACGGCCCAAACUCCUACGGGAGGCAGCAGUAGGGAAUCUUCGGCAAUGGACGAAAGUCUGACCGAGCAACGCCGCGUGAGUGAAGAAGGUUUUCGGAUCGUAAAACUCUGUUGUUAGAGAAGAACAAGGAUGAGAGUAACUGUUCAUCCCUUGACGGUAUCUAACCAGAAAGCCACGGCUAACUACGUGCCAGCAGCCGCGGUAAUACGUAGGUGGCAAGCGUUGUCCGGAUUUAUUGGGCGUAAAGCGAGCGCAGGCGGUUUCUUAAGUCUGAUGUGAAAGCCCCCGGCUCAACCGGGGAGGGUCAUUGGAAACUGGGAGACUUGAGUGCAGAAGAGGAGAGUGGAAUUCCAUGUGUAGCGGUGAAAUGCGUAGAUAUAUGGAGGAACACCAGUGGCGAAGGCGGCUCUCUGGUCUGUAACUGACGCUGAGGCUCGAAAGCGUGGGGAGCAAACAGGAUUAGAUACCCUGGUAGUCCACGCCGUAAACGAUGAGUGCUAAGUGUUGGAGGGUUUCCGCCCUUCAGUGCUGCAGCUAACGCAUUAAGCACUCCGCCUGGGGAGUACGACCGCAAGGUUGAAACUCAAAGGAAUUGACGGGGGCCCGCACAAGCGGUGGAGCAUGUGGUUUAAUUCGAAGCAACGCGAAGAACCUUACCAGGUCUUGACAUCCUUUGACCACUCUAGAGAUAGAGCUUCCCCUUCGGGGACAAAGUGACAGGUGGUGCAUGGUUGUCGUCAGCUCGUGUCGUGAGAUGUUGGGUUAAGUCCCGCAACGAGCGCAACCCUUAUUGUUAGUUGCCAUCAUUCAGUUGGGCACUCUAGCAAGACUGCCGGUGACAAACCGGAGGAAGGUGGGGAUGACGUCAAAUCAUCAUGCCCCUUAUGACCUGGGCUACACACGUGCUACAAUGGGAAGUACAACGAGUCGCGAAGUCGCGAGGCUAAGCUAAUCUCUUAAAGCUUCUCUCAGUUCGGAUUGCAGGCUGCAACUCGCCUGCAUGAAGCCGGAAUCGCUAGUAAUCGCGGAUCAGCACGCCGCGGUGAAUACGUUCCCGGGCCUUGUACACACCGCCCGUCACACCACGAGAGUUUGUAACACCCGAAGUCGGUGAGGUAACCUUUUUGGAGCCAGCCGCCUAAGGUGGGAUAGAUGAUUGGGGUGAAGUCGUAACAAGGUAGCCGUAUCGGAAGGUGCGGCUGGAUCACCU
rnacentral:rRNA from 1 species